GACGAACGCUGGCGGCGUGCUUAACACAUGCAAGUCGAACGGAAAGGCCCUGCUUUUGUGGGGUGCUCGAGUGGCGAACGGGUGAGUAACACGUGAGUAACCUGCCCUUGACUUUGGGAUAACUUCAGGAAACUGGGGCUAAUACCGGAUAGGAGCUCCUGCUGCAUGGUGGGGGUUGGAAAGCUUCGGCGGUUGGGGAUGGACUCGCGGCUUAUCAGCUUGUUGGUGGGGUAGUGGCUUACCAAGGCUUCGACGGAUAGCCGGCCUGGGAGGGUGGCCGGCCACAAUGGGACUGAGAUACGGCCCAGACGGCUACGGGAGGCAGCAGUGGGGAAUAUUGCACAAUGAGCGGAAGCCUGAUGCAGCGGCGCCGCGUGCGGGAUGACGGCCUUCGGGUUGUAAACCGCUUUCGCCUGUGACGAAGCGUGAGUGACGGUAAUGGGUAAAGAAGCACCGGCUAACUACGUG
rnacentral:rRNA from 1 species